UGGGGAAUCUUGCGCAAUGGGCGAAAGCCUGACGCAGCCAUGCCGCGUGAGUGAUGAAGGCCUUAGGGUUGUAAAACUCUUUCACCGGGGACGAUAAUGACGGUACCCGGAGAAGAAGCCCCGGCUAACUUCGUGCCAGCAGCCGCGGUAAUACGAAGGGGGCUAGCGUUGCUCGGAAUUACUGGGCGUAAAGGGCGCGUAGGCGGAUCAGCAAGUUGGGGUGAAAGCCCGGGCUCACCUCGGAAUUGCCUUCAAACUGCUGAUCUAGAGUACGGGAGAGGUGUGUGGAACUCCGAGUGUAGAGGUGAAAUUCGUAGAUAUUCGGAAGAACACCAGUGGCGAAGGCGACACACUGGCCCGUUACUGACGCUGAGGCGCGAAAGCGUGGGGAGCAAACAGGAUUAGAUACCCUGGUAGUCCACGCUGUAAACG
rnacentral:rRNA from 1 species